rnacentral:rRNA from 1 species
UGGGGAAUAUUGCACAAUGGGGGAAACCCUGAUGCAGCAACGCCGCGUGAGUGAUGACGGUCUUCGGAUUGUAAAGCUCUGUCUUCAGGGACGAUAAUGACGGUACCUGAGGAGGAAGCCACGGCUAACUACGUGCCAGCAGCCGCGGUAUUACGUAGGUGGCAAGCGUUGUCCGGAUUUACUGGGCGUAAAGGGAGCGUAGGUGGAUAUCUAAGUGGGAUGUGAAAUACUCGGGCUUAACCUGGGUGCUGCAUUCCAAACUGGAUAUCUAGAGUGCAGGAGAGGAAAGUAGAAUUCCUAGUGUAGCGGUGAAAUGCGUAGAGAUUAGGAAGAAUACCAGUGGCGAAGGCGACUUUCUGGACUGUAACUGACACUGAGGCUCGAGAGCGUGGGGAGCAAACAG